UUUCCGUAGGUGAACCUGCGGAAGGAUCAUUACCGAGUGAGGGCCCUCUGGGUCCAACCUCCCACCCGUGUUUAUCGUACCUUGUUGCUUCGGCGGGCCCGCCUCACGGCCGCCGGGGGGCACCCGCCCCCGGGCCCGCGCCCGCCGAAGACAAUCUUGAACUCUGUCUGAAGAAUGCAGUCUGAGCGAUAAGCAAAAUUAGUUAAAACUUUCAACAACGGAUCUCUUGGUUCCG
rnacentral:misc_RNA from 1 species